CUAGAAACCCCACAGGAGGGAAGGAUGGGGAGCGGGGUCUGGCUGGCACUCUUCCUUCCUCUUCCCCCUCACCUGCUGCUUUGCCCUGAAGCAGCAGGUGCCCUGCCCCCUGUCCUGUCCUUUUUGGGGCGCUAGGUGUCAGGUCAGAUGUCAUACUCCAUAUGCUGUUGUAAAGCAGCCAUCAAUGCCAUCAGUGAGUGGAACUUCGUUCCGGCUUUCAUGGGGGUCUCUGCGUGACGAAUCUUCUGGAUGUGGGCUGCCUACUCUCUGACGCCCUCAUAGGACCUUCCUUUUGAUCCUGUUCCUCAGGAUACUCCACAAGUGGCCAACAUGGUACCAUCAAGACAUCUUGAGCCUGGCUCCCUGCCACGGCAUAUGUGGCUCACAGGAGGUCUUGUUACAUCAGAAUGAGGUAGUGUGGGUUGCUCGCUGCCACCCUCUCCCCUCACCUUAGUGUAGAGGGCCGCCCUGGCCCACCUCCUGCCUCCAGAGUUUCUCCAGGUGAGAAGUGGACCGUCACAGGCAUAUGCGAAGCCUUGCUGAAACCCCUCUGUGGCUUCCUACGGCCAGCGCCUGUGACUCUCAUCUUGAGGGUUUUCUCUGGUGUUGAUAGUGUGGCUGCAUGUGUUAGGGGAGUUGACACCCUGGAGCAGCCCUCAACCGAAGAUGGACAGGAGUUGGUGGCUGCCGGACCCACCUAGCCUCUGAAGCUUCUCCCCUCCUCCCGCUCCUUCCUCUUUUAUCCUUCGUGGGGGUUUUGCCCAGUAAAGCUCUCACACGCACACUCCUGUCCAGACACCUGCUUCGGAAGACCCGGACCGGCGCGCUUUCUCUGCCCACCCGCCUCAGACUGAUGCCUGUCUGCAUUUCCCCGCCCCGGGCCCCUCCUUUUGCCCUUUCGUGGCUCUGAUCUGAAUCUGUGACUGUUUUGUAUUGGUUUUCUUGCGUAUGGUCUGCCUUUACUCUGGACUGGGACGUUCAUGCAGACGGGGUGCUAUGCAGAGCUCCCUGUGCCCCCAGUGCCUGGCACGUGGCAGACGUUCUAUGGAGACGCGUUAAAUGAAGGUUGGCUAAGUGGUGGGAGAAUUGGGGAGCAUUAAACAUAUGAAAAUGCUUUGAAAAGCCCCUGAUAUUCCACUUUCCAGAAGUGCCAACUUCUGACCUGGUGUUAUUGCCAGGGCUGGUCCCUGGGGACGAUCUCUGCGGCUGUUGGCGGCGCACGCCCUGUCCCGGCACAGGCAGGCAGAUACUGAAGCGUCCUGCUGCACCCACCAGAGCCAGACUCAGGGUCUAAGGUCGGGGAGAUGAGCCACCAUCCAGCUGGAGCGGGCACCUUCGUAACACUGCCCCUUGAAAAGCAUCUCACUGGGAUAAACACGGAACAGGGUAUUUAUCUUCAGAAUGCGAAACGCAUGCAGUGCUGUAAUUAAACCAGCAGGAGUGGGGACAAAGCGCUAGCUCCAAACGGUUCCUUUGAAGAUGAAAGUCAUUAGAUUUCAAUGAAAAUCUAGGAUAUAGCAUCCCACCGACACGAGAAUAUUUAACCUACAUCCCAGAGCGGGGCCGGCAAUUGAUAGUAUGAUUGAUAACAACUUGAUUGCAGUAAUUGUGAAGGGGAAUUUGAAAAUGGUUAGAUGAGCAGGAAGCAGGCAAUGAGUUGAUGGUAUCUUUGUGGAGCCAAAUUUUCUUAGAAUGUUGAAGUUCCUCCACAUUCUGUUUUUUGGCCAAGAAAAUGCUGAACUCACUCUCUAAGUGGGCAAUCCAGGAGCCAGACAGUCCUAGAACCUCACCCAAACAAACCACGCAGAGAAAACACAGCCAGAGGCUCCUUUUGGUAAACCACUGAGAUCGGGGUCGCCAACCACCUGGUCGACAAUUCUGCCAUGCCAAGCCCUGGUUUUCACUGCUGCAGCUGACUCUGUCGGCAACUGCCCACCCCUGCAGCGGAUUGCUCAGUGCACACCACCAGCUUCCUGCUGGUGCAUCUCUCUGCCUGCCCAGCAGCCUUUCUCAGCUGAGCACAGGGCAGCCCAGAAGAGCCAGAGUUGUCGCCCCUGGAGCAGCCCUCUGCUGACAACAGACAGAUGGAAGUCAGCGGAUGAAUUCUCACCUUGCUGUCCUCAGGGGGGACACGUCCGAGGUGUGCUCUCUGCAGUCUCUCGGAAUCCGCCAGGGGCAUGAGUUCCUGUUGCCCACGGUGGUCACUUGCUCAUUCGCAUACCGUGAGCUGCCUUCCUCACUGUCUUACGGUUAGUUCCUAAGGUUCCAUCAGAAAACAUGACCCGUGCCCAGAUCUUUGUCUUUGGAUCUACUCAGGGGAACCCAAGUUGAGAUAACCACUGAGUAUUUUCAGGAUGAGAAGCAAAGUAUUGCCCAUGGGUUUAGCUGGGACGCUGACCAGUCAGAAGGGCUGCCAACCACAGUGCCAGGCCUUGCCCCCGACUUGCUGCAUUGCUCUGUGUUGGGUAUGUGGCGACCCACAUACAAAAUAGAGGAAGAAUAGCACGGAUGUUAGCGCAGGGACAAUCUUCCUCACCAGAAAAAAAUAAAAUAAAAUAAAGACCUUCCAGCUGUGGGAACUGCAGAGGAUGAGCAGGUAGUGACCUCCCCGGCACUGCAAGGAUGCCAGCAGGCCUGCACAGCCGCUGUCAGGAGUGCCGUGGGGCAGGAUCCUGCCGGGGUGGGAGGCAUUCGGAGGGUUCGGGGGUUCCUGUGGCCCCCUCUCUCUGGUCACCCUGGAGGACCCCGGGAAUGGCUUUGGGCAAAUUGGGCAGCUGCAGCUCCAGUCCCUGCCUUCUCUCCUGAGCCUGCCGCUGGGGCCUGGCAGGCGCCAGGUGUAUACAGGGCCUGCAGUGCGGGGGCCCCUCUGGAGAGUCGCUGCCUCCUGAGACAUCAGAGCCGACAGGCCUCCAGAUCACCCCCUCCACCCGCUCUGAGGCUGGGGAGUCUCAUGCUCCUUGAGAAAACAGAACACCUACCACCACAAGGUUUAGGGACUUUUGGCCUAAACUCAGUGGCAGCUGUUUGGCAGCCUGGUGACUUGAGGAAUAACAUUCCAAACUUUGCUAGUCAAGUGUCUCAUACUACCUUGCAAUUUGGGGGCUGGAAUGAACUUCCAAAGACCAUCCAGUCCAGGAAUGACAGAGUUCAUUUUGUGUGUUAAUUCUGAUUAGGUGCCCAGAGUGCAGUGUUGAGAAGGAUUCUGAAGCUGCAUUCUGGUUCAGGGGAAAUUAAAGACAUGAUUGAUUAGUAAUGUCUAGCGUGGUCUAGAGAUCCUGAAGGGAUCAUGUGCAUGUCAAAGACUUGGCCUUCGUGGUAUGGUUCAAAGUCUCCUCCCGUAGCCCUAGUCAUUGCUCAAAUCUCUGCUUUAAUGUUUCCAGAUUCUUCGUCCAUCCAUUCCUCUAAUAAUGUAAUUUUGCAAAAGUCUAUGUACCACAUGCUGAGGACACAACAAGGAAUAAGGCAUAGUCCUGGGUCUCAAGUGCCUUAAGGGUCCUGCCAGGGCUCCUGGGAGUCCCAGUAUUGGAGGCUCACUCUCUGGAUCAGGGACCUCACCGGGUGCAGGGCCACGUUUUUGGCCAUGUCUGCGUAGCCCUUUAUUCCUUAAUACUGUUCUUUAGGUUGCCUUUUUAUUUUUUAAGUUCCUUUUUUUACGUAAUCUAUUUGUUUCAAAAAGGAAGUUCCCUACAACAACCUUAAAAAAGAAAUCUUUGUCCCUUGCAUUAAAUUUAAGUAACUGUAGAAAAGACUAUAUAACCAUAAAAUUAAACAAAUGUUAGACCACUGAUUGAGCGUUUUAAAAUGGCUAUAGUGCAUCAGAACUGCACUGGCAGAAGGAGCCGGCGCUCAGCACGUUCCCCACAGCUCAGCUCUUAAAGCUCCGUUGACACUCAGUUAAAGGUAACACCCUCCCAGGUCAGCGGGGAGGAGGGGGCUGGGCCCUCCGGUAGUGGCGAUGAGGUCUUGUGAAAAUCCUGAAAAUCGCAAGCCCCGAAGUCAAACAUUAGCAAACUCCCCAAAAGCCUAUCUGGAAGGGGCGCUAAUGGCAGACUGAGGGAGCACACCAAGGCUGUCCUGUGAGGCUGGAUCUUUCCUUCUCCGAGGACCCACAAGCGGCGCUGUCUCAGGGCCGAGGGUCUGAUUCUCAUCCCCUUCCCUCUGGCCGUCCCUGUCCCACAGUAGAGUUGUACUGUCUUUGGUAUGGAGCGUGGUAGAGCCUUGGCGGUUCCAGCAGUUUUGUUUACAAGAACCUUAGGAGGAGUAAGAUGUCUCCCCCGGAUGAGCCCUGGUUGGCUGUGCUGGCCCGGCACAACCGCCGUCUAUGGAGGCAUCACGGGGCCUCUCAGCCUGUCUCCGUCCCUGUCACGCGGACCUCAGGGAGGCCUCCCUCCCAGGGCAGGUGUGCAGAUGCCAGAACAUCUGGACUUUUACUGGAGCUGGGCCGCCCGGGGCCUCGCUCCCCUCCCCACUCUCUGACCCCUUGCCUGCGGUUUCCUUUUUGCUGGAUUAUCAGAGGAACUGAGUCUCAAAGUUAAUUCUCUUAAUGAAUUGUAAAUAACAGGCCAGUAUGGAAAAUGCUAACGAUCCCCUUUGAAAUUCUAAGCAUGUCUGUUUCCAGUUUACAGGCGAUUCUCUGAAGAGUCUGGGAGUUGAGGCCGUCACUGUCUUACGAGGGGCCAGCCGUACCCUGCCCUGCACGCCUGGCCACCUAGAGCACAAUGCCGGCCGAGCCCAGCCUCGAGAGCUCUGCCUGGUGCCUGGCUGGGGACUAGUGUACAUGCCUGUCUGUGUGUCUGUCUGCGUGGCCCAGCCCUCCCUACCUCUCCCCCAGCCCCGCCUUCCCCACGAUGGGUCCCCCUCCCCCCAAUUUUGUCAGAACCCUUUUCUUUCCCAGCAGCUGGUGAAGCCAGAGAUGGGGACUGAGACUUUGGUUUUGAGACUGCCAUUAAUCAAUCUGAAUUUGGCCAGGUCAUUUUCUCUCUCCAAGCCUCAGUUUCCCUAUCUCUACAACGAAUUAGACCAGGGGUUGCAGACUCAGAAGCCUCAGGGCUGGGCAGGUGACGUCAAGUGAGGAGAGCAGAGGCUGGGCUGGGCCACUGGCAGAGGCGUGCCCGUCUGCAGGGCCCACUGGGUGGGCAACAGCUGACUGCCACCACAGGGCAAUGCCAAUCUAAUGGGGCUAGUUCUUCUGAGGUUUUUAAAGAGAAAUUGUGAUUUUUUUUUUUUUUUUUUUUGCCAAAUCUCCCCAUUUAAAAAUACUGGCAACUGGUUUUUAAAAAUUUAAACAUUGCCUGGCUGUGGGCAGAAUGCUGCCUGGGGGCCUCCACUUUGAGACCCUGGGCCUACAGCUCUGCCCAUUAGAGGUCUCAGGACUCAUUGCAAGGGCCAAGGACCUCACUUUGCUCCCUGACCCCAGCUGCCCUCGUCCGUUCCUCCUGCCUUGGAGGUGCUGGUGAUGAGGGUUGAUCUUAGAUACUUGGUUUCUCCUCCCCAUCCUCUUGGACUCAGCUGUGGUCAUGUGACUUCUUUUGGCCAAUAAAAUGGGAGCAGAUGUUACACGUGGGCAGAAGGCUGGAGGGCCAGCACAAGCUUCCCCAGGCUGUUUUCCUGUGCCAUAGUGACUGAUGUCAUUCCACCUGGUCCCAGAGGAUGCAAUGCAGAGCAGAGGCCCCCGCUGCCCUGUGAUGGACACGUGGAGGGAAUGAGAGGUCACGCGUGUUUGUCACUGCAGCAUGACUUAGCUGAUCCUGACUGUCAGAGCACCCUUUUACCCACAGUGAUUGGGUUUACGGCCAGCCCUCUGGAGCCCAGGGAGACAGCUCAGCAGCAGCAGCAGAUGGAAAGCGUGGCCUUUUAUUUGGUUUUUCUUCUCUGCUGUGUCUCUAGUGUGGAGUGCAAGGCCUGGCACACGGCAGGUGCUCAAUGAAUACUUGUGAAAUGGAUGAAUGUAUUGGCAUGAAGGACAGUUGAGGCACCCGGGUGGGUGGCCAUGACGUCCAAGGGAGGCUGCAAUUGACUACAGUGCUUGGUGCGCUUGGCCGGGCCCCUGAACAGUCUUUCCUUGAUUAUAAACGACUCUCGAAGUUCUAGGGAGAGACAGGCCCCGACUCCAGAUGCCACGCUCCUAACCCGGGGCUGUGGGAAAACCAGAGCGUCCUUGACUGCGAUUCCAGCGAAGCUCUGCUCUUCAGAGGCCAGGAGGCCUGGGGAAGACCCUCUGCCCUCUGCUUCCUCGUCGCAACCUCCGCCCCGGCAAGGGCUGCCUUCACAGCUGUGUCACCUCGAGGAUCAUUCACUUAGUGCUUUGUUCUUUCUUUACUUACCCACUUUGUCUUCAGCCUAAGCGAUAUUUCUGAUCCGUGAUAAAUCGAUAGCUGGGCAAAGCUUUAGCAUCACUCUCGGAUCCUAGGUCUGCCUCUUGCACCACAUUCAGUCUCAACGUUCUGUCUGCAUUGCCUCAAAAACCCACCCCUGCUCUCGCUGGCUGCUGCUCUUCGUUAUGCUUCUCGGCCCAGGCCGCUGCAGGGCCCCGACUCCAGCCUCGCUGGCCUUCUUUCUGCUACUAAAGCUCGCCGGGCUCUCUCCUGCUGGACGGCCUCUGCGCAAGCUGCUUUCUCAGCCUGUGACACCCUUUCCUGGCUGGAUCCUUGUUAUUUCGGCUUCAGUUUAAGUGUCACCUGGUCUCUACCUCAUUGCCCUGUUUUAUUUUCCUAUUGCCUUUAUUAUGCCUGCUCUUUACUUGUCCAUUUAUAGGUUUAUUGUCUCUUUCCACUAGAACAGGAUCUCUCCACAGCAGCUCUACUGGCAUUUGGGCUGGAUCAUUCUUUGUUGUGGGAGACUGUCCUGUGCCCUGUAGGAUGUUUAGCAGCAUCCCCGCCCUGUAGCACCCCCUUCCCAGUUGUGACAGCCAACAAAGUCCCAGGUAAGGGCAUAGGUACAAUCGCCCCUGGUUGUCGAGAACCACUGUUUGAGAAUGUGCGUCAUAAGAGCAAGGCAAUCACCUGCCUUAUUCGUCUUUGUACCGCCAGCAACCAGAACAUGGCUCCGUAAGAAACAGUGAACUGAAUGAAUUGGUGAGAGAAUCAUGAAAAUAGGGGGAAAUUUUUGUGUAGGACCUGAACUCAUCUCGAUGCCCUCAGAGGUCCAGGAGCUGCGUUUUGGGAAAUGCAGACAGUGUGAGCUCUCAGGUCGCUUCCGGCUUGACGAACAACGCUGAGCUUCUCCCCGAGCAGGGGUCUCCUCGGGGCCGGCAGCGCCUGAGAGGGGAGGCUCCAAGCACCCUGACGGGCUGUCAGUUUUUUAAUGCAAAACUGAAAGAAAAGUUUGCAGCCCCGAUAUGGCACAAUCUGAAGAAGAUAAAUCACAGUUACUUGCAGCCGGCUGACAGCAGUUUAAGCCGCUGCAAUCACCGGGCUCCCGGGGAGAAGCUUCUUUUAUCUUACUAAAUGCAAAAAGUGGAGCUGAAAUUGGCAAUAUCGCAGCCCUCUCCGCGGCCCGGCUUUUUACAUAAAUAUCAGCAAGCAGUAAGUAAAUUCUGUUGACGAAAUGUAAUAAAACAAAGACUGUUUCAAAUAUGACCAUUCCCUGAUGCAUUCCAAAGCCUCGUCCCACUCACUUAUUACUCGCUGCUGAGAUUAUAAGGUUUGCUUUUAUCUGUCAGAAAUCAAUAUUUCAAACAUCGGAUAAAAGAGGAAAUUGAACUGGGAAUAGGCUGAAGUGCUGUAAAAACUACAAAGCACAAUUAUCAAAAAGCACUUAAAGUACUUAAUAGGACACACAUAUAAAAAUGCUCAAAUUAAUGUCAGGGAGCCAUAAUGAGAACUUUUCCUAUGCUUUUUCAUCCCCACGCAGUGUAAUUUGAAGGCUGGCCAGUCCAUCAAUAUGGUUUUCAAUUUCUACGAUGCCCUGAGGACCCUGGGCUCGCCAUUUGUUAGAGAUGAACCAUUACAUAUGAUUGGUUAAUAUUUCAGUUUAUUGAAGAUACAUUAUUUUGUAUGGAGUGUUUAAGUUGUUGAGGGUUAACCAUUACAAACAGUUAUGACAAAAAUAGAUCUUGGGGUAAACAGCCUUCACAGUCGUGCUUUUAAUAAGCACAGCAAUAACCAGGAAACUGGAUUUGCAGGAGCUGGGAGAUGGGAGGGCGAAAUGUUGUGGGGAGAGCCAGGGUGAAGUGGGAAGGGGCCCUCAAUCCUUCUUUGCACCCAUAAUACGUUUUGGAAAGUUGACAGGCUGUCUUUUUAAACCAAAUUUUGUUUGGUUACUUUAUUGUUUUCCUCCUAAAAGAGAGGAACAUUUCCCCCCUGGUGAUGAUAACAUAUUCACCCGUUCCUAGAGAGGAAUUGCUUAUCUGGCGUCGUUCUAGGCCGAGGAGCAGCAAACUGUUUUUGUAAAGAGCCGGAUGGUAAAUAUUUUAGGCUUUGCAGGUCAAGAGGCAAAAUUAAGGAUGCUAUGUGUAUAGGCAUGUAUAGAAGAACCAUUAGAAAUGGAAAAGCUGUUCUCAGCUUGCAGGCUGUGAAAAGCCAGGCGGCGACUCCUGCCUAUUUGUCGGCCCUUUUCCAGGCAGAAGCGUAUGCUUGCGUCACUUUCAUAACACUGUGUUUCAUCAUCAGGGCAGACGUGGGAUAAAAUCCACAGCUCCUUGGUCCGGCCUAUGAGGCCCAUGACCUACGACCUGUGACCUGCCCACUGGCCUCCUCCCUCCGUCCCCAGACUCCCCUCAUCACGGUGCUCCAGCCACAUGGGUCGCUCUCUGCUGCUCCCUUCCCGUCUCAGCACUUGGACUUGCUCUUCCCUCUGCCUGGAAUAUUCUGUCCCCCGACCCCGGACCCGCUCUGGUCCGGCUGCUUCUCAAAUUUCAAAUCUUGGUUUGAAUGCCCCCGCUCAGAGCGGCCUUCUCUGGCCAGCCGGGCCUUUCCAGCACACUCCAGCAUGAAUUCCUGUUGAGAAUUUUUGUUUAUUUAUUCAUUUAGCUGUUUCUUGUCUACCUCCUUCCCUUUCAAGGGCGGGGAUUGUGCCCACUUUGUUUACCUCUGUGUCCUUAGACCAAGGACAACACGGUUCUAAACACGGUUUGCACUUGUCUCAAGGUCAGUUUCACCAGGCUCCACAAACAUGCUGACGGAGCGAAUGAAGGAAUGAACGAAUGAGACAGUGAGUGAUACUUCAUUAGCUCUCCUGGGGAGCUGGCCGCAGUUUGCUGACAUGAAACUCUGUGGUCUUGUUUUGCUCCUGGCCUUGGCAUCUCUCAAGAAGGAUGGUUUCUUUACUUUGUUCAGAGUGUUCCUUUUGCCUGGGGUGUGCGUUCCCCUCAUCCCCCACCUUGUCCGUGAAUAUCCAAACCUCCUCACCCUUGUCUGGCUACAUGACCUCUCUUCCAGGAAGCCCUCCUAGAUCCUCAGGUCAUGCUGAUGCUGGGCCUACCUGGGGCCCUCCGUGCGUCUGCGCCUUACAGGCACAUCUACCAGAUGCCCGGGCUCACCUAGCGGGCAUGGUCCCCUCCGUUCAUCUCCCUCCAGGACUUUGCAUGCAGGGUCCCGGUUAGUACUGGUAGCUGAACAGCCAGUGGUGAUGGCAUCAACCUCCAGAAUGGGGACCUGACCUGAAAUCUGUCCCCAAAUCACACUGCUUUAGUUCACACAGCAACACUGGUCCUGAGGCCCGAACCACGCUCAGAGCCUCAGCAGGUGUUCUUCAGGCCCUGCAGUCAUGCUCUAGGUGUGCGCAAGGUUCUGCAACGAAAGGAGGUACCAGUGGCAAAGGGGAGUCCCCACAGAUGUCUGGAAGCGAGACACGAGGGCCGGGCGUAUCCGUGUGUGGUUGGUCCUCCGCUUUCUCUCUGUUCACAGCUCCGUGACCAUGCCUCACUUCAGUUCCAUGUCCUUGGACUCGAAGGCGUUCCUCUUUGCACAUAGAAUCAGGGAGGAGGAGGCCCUGCGGCUGCUGGAACAAGGUGGGCCGGGGAGGGGAGCUCUCCCUCGCUCGGGGGUGCGCUUGCACACGGGGGCAGAGCUUGCGUCUGCCUGGAUCUCUCGUCUCUCCAUAGGCAGGUGGCUCCGGCUGCGGGAGAGGCGGCUGCUGUCCAGAGAGCGCUUGCCUUUGGAGGGAGCCAAGGAAGGGGGGACAUGGCAGAUCUGGAGAGGGGCUUGCCUCAGGAGGCUGGUGCAAUGGGAGCCCUGCCCUUUCCUUGGGCUGCCACCAGUUUGCCACAAGACUCUGGCAAGUCCUGCGUCACUUUUGUUUUCUUUAAAAUGGGAGAGUGGACCAGAUGCUCAUAGGGCUCCCCCCGCCCUGGUGCACAUCUGCUGGCAUGAGGUGGGGAGGAGGUGGGGGUCCACGCAGCUGUGACAUCAGAGCCCUAUGGGUUGUGAGUGGCAGAGACUGAAGUCAAACCAGCUGGAGCCCAGAGGGGUUGAAUCCAAGAAGGGCUGGACAGUCACAUAUGUGGAAGGACAGAAACAUGUCUGGGCCCCAGGACAAUGGAGCCAGGGGCUCAAACGCUUUGUCUCCCAUUAUUUCAAUAACGCAGCCUGUGCUUGUCAGGGGCCUACUGCCUGCUGGGUGCCCUGCCACCACCUGAGUAGACACGAGGGAACAAGACCAACGUGGCCCUCGCCCUUGUGGCUGGUGGCGGGUUUCUCUGCAGGGACUGCCUUCUGUCUUGCUCAUUCCUUCUUGGCCAGCUUUCUCCACCUGGGGAAAACAUGGCUGCAGACCCUGGGACAUCUCACAGCUGCACGAGGCUGUCUUGUUCCAAGUCCAGACAUCCAUGGGAGGGAGUCAUGUGCCCCUUCCUGGACCAGUCAGGACCAGGGGCUGGAGUCCUAUUGUAUGAACACGGGGACUGCACUAUGCACAGUGGAUAGUAUCUCCUUUUUAGAGGUGGAGAAAUGAAGGCUCAGAGAAGGUGAUGAAUUUGCCAAAGAUCACACAGCCUGUGAGUGGGAGAGUCAGGAUUCAGACUCAAGUCAAUCUGCCUGCACAGCCUGUGCUGUCUCCAUAAAAACAUAAUGACUGAGGGGCCGGCCUGGUGGCACAGCGGUUAAGUGCACAUGUUCUACUUCAGUGGCCCGGGGUUUGCAGGUUUGGAUCCCAGGUGCAGACAUGGCACCACUUGGCAAGCCAUGCUGUGGUAGGCAUCCCACAUAUAAAGCAGAGGAAGAUGGGCAUGGAUGUAAGCUCAGGGCCAGUCUUCCUCAGCAAAAAGAGGAUUGGCAGCAGAUGUUAGCUCAGGGCUAAUCUUCCUCAAGAACCCCCCCCCCCCAAAAAACCAUAAUGAAGGAUAUUUGAUGCUCCAGG
rnacentral:lncRNA from 1 species